GUCUUGUAGCAAAAUCUUUGAUCACAAACUGAGCAGCUGAAUGGUUUCUCUCCUGUGUGAGUCAUCAUGUGUCUCUUCAGAUGUUGCUUGCGGCCAAAUCUCCUCCCACACUCCGAGCAGCUGAAUGUUUUCUUAAAUGUUGAAUCAUGUUUCAAAACGUUUAAAGCUGAGUGAGGUUCUCUGGUCUCCUUCCAAUCAGCACUGUCAUCGGUCUCAGGUUCAGAAGAGUUUCCAGGCUGGUCUUCAGUCUCUGGAUGUAAAAGUGGAUAUGAGUUCUUGGCUGGUUCUGGUCCUCCACAGUCCUCUCCAUCAGCUUUUGUUUCCAUGUGUUGAGUCUGUCUCUGAUGAAGCUGUGAGGACUGAGCUUCCUCGUCAUCAUCUUCACACUUUACAGGGACAGGAGUGAAUAGGAACUUGGUGAUAUCAGCCUCCUCCAGCCCUUGAAGCUGCUCUCUCUCCUGACAGCUCCACAGUUCCUCCUGCUCCUC